rnacentral:rRNA from 1 species
GACAGAGGUGCCGAGCGUUAGGCGGAAUCACUGGGCUUAAAGCGUGUGUAGGCGGACGGGUAAGUACCUUGUGAAAUCCCACGGGCUCAACCGUGGAACGGCUGGGUAUACUGCCGUCUUGGAGCCACUUAGGGCCGUCGGAACAAUGGUGGAGCGGUGAAUGCGUAGAUAUCACUUGGAACGCCAACGGUGAAGACAGUCUGCUGGGACUUGCUGACGCUGAGACACGAAAGCCAGGGAGCGAACGGG